CGGCAAUUUUUUUAUGCACCGUUGUGGCCGAUCUCGGCAUCCAUUACGCAACAGAAUCGAUAAAAUCGACACGUGGUGACGGCGACUCAAGCGCGUGCCCCAGUGGCUCUCCGACGAACCUUUGUCUUUGCAGCCCUCUCACGCAAGCUCUCUGGAUCACUCGCUGACUCGGCCUUGCGAUUCUAUCUCGCUCGUGUUUGUGUUGAUUGACCCCUCGUGCUUUCUGAGAUUUGUGGGUUCGCAGCCGUUUUGCGAUUUCAGACCUGAUCUCUUACAGGUCUUGCCAUAUGAGUUCCAGGCCAUGGUUAUUUUGUCGUUAACGGGCGAAGCAGACAUUCAACUGGGUUAAGAGUUGGGCUCAUAAGCCUACUACUAGCCACUCUCAAGUGGUGAUGCAGGGCGUCUUUGCCGAGUAAAAAAGCGUCGGGUGGGGUGCAGAUCGGGGUGGCAGGAGCGUGGCAGGAGUUUGGUUGAAGGUAGGGAGAUAGCCAUGAAUCUCGAAUUUGAUUACCUUUUCAAGCCAUUGUGGUCGAUAGGAGAUGUUGUCGUCUAUCGGAGAUUCCAGUGUGUUGGAAGGAGUUGCCUUCAGCUCUGAUUUGUAGACUACUUGCACAUCAGCACAAUAGGUGUGGACUUUAAAAGCCAGAGGUGGAGCGACGAGUGUCCUUAUCACUUGCUCAGUCAGCAUCAAAAUAAUCAUGGAGAAUAUCACCUUGAGGUAAGUGUUGAUAUUUUAUUCUAAAGGAUAAUGUGCUUUUUAUAUAUCUCAUAGUUCUUUUCAAAGUUUGAAUAUGUAUAGGUUUUGAUUUAGAGAGAUAUUGUGCUAAAUUGUUGAUAGCAUAAACACAAUCGGGUCUAGAAUUAACAAUGGCAUGCAUUAAAUUGCCAACAACUUGAGAAUAGAGAUAAUCAGAUAAAGUAAUAUGGUUUUCAUUACUUAAACGAAUCCUUGGCUUAAUUGGGGUGCCUAAUGGAUUGGAAGUCAACAUAUUGAAUUCAGUAAGUUUAUUUGUUAAAUAUUUGGUUUGAUGAAGGAUGACCCAUCCUUCUUUUCAAUUUCUUAAAAUGAAAUUGCAUAAAGUAUAAUGGAUUUUUCCUUCAUCGAACAUGUCAAAUUCUUGUUGGAGAAUGUUUUUGAUUUGUUGAAUUUAAGGAAGUUUAUUGUUGACAAGAAUAUAGUCAUCAAUAUGGACUGUAAUUAUGGUAAAAUCUUGAUUAUGUUCUUUUUUGAUGUA